rnacentral:rRNA from 1 species
AGGGAAUAUUGGGCAAUGGGCGAGAGCCUGACCCAGCCAUGCCGCGUGCAGGAAGAAGGCUUUCUGAGUCGUAAACUGCUUUUGACAGGGAAGAAUAAGGCCUACGUGUAGGCUGAUGACGGUACCUGCAGAAUAAGCACCGGCUAACUCCGUGCCAGCAGCCGCGGUAAUACGGAGGGUGCGAGCGUUGUCCGGAUUUAUUGGGUUUAAAGGGUGCGUAGGCGGUUCUUUAAGUCCGGGGUGAAAGCCCGCUGCUCAACAGCGGAACUGCCCUGGAUACUGGAGAACUUGAGUACAGACGAGGUUGGCGGAAUGGACCGAGUAGCGGUGAAAUGCAUAGAUACGGUCCAGAACCCCGAUUGCGAAGGCAGCUGACUAGGCUGUUACUGACGCUGAGGCACGAAAGCGUGGGGAGCGAAC